rfam:Pristionchus pacificus strain PS312 contig4317, whole genome shotgun sequence.
CUAGUCAUUCCUCUUUCCCUUUUCACUCAUCUCGUCAAUCGAUAAUUGAAUUUCGAAUGACAGAUCAGUGCGCGAGAAGGAAGACUAG